AACGAACGCUGGCGGCAUGCCUAACACAUGCCAGUCGAACGAGACCUUCGGGUCUAGUGGCGCACGGGUGCGUAACGCGUGGGAACCUGCCCUUAGGUUCGGAAUAACUCCCCGAAAGGGGUGCUAAUACCGGAUAAUGUCUUCGGACCAAAGAUUUAUCGCCUUUGGAUGGGCCCGCGUUGGAUUAGCUAGUUGGUAGGGUAAAAGCCUACCAAGGCGACGACCCAUAGCUGGUCUGAGAGGAUGAUCAGCCACACUGGGACUGAGACACGGCCCAGACUCCUACGGGAGGCAGCAGUGGGGAAUAUUGGACAAUGGGCGAAAGCCUGAUCCAGCAAUGCCGCGUGAGUGAUGAAGGCCUUAGGGUUGUAAAGCUCUUUUACCCGGGAUGAUAAUGACAGUACCGGGAGAAUAAGCUCCGGCUAACUCCGUG
rnacentral:rRNA from 1 species